CACAGUUGUUCACGAUGACGAUUGUUUUCGUCACUUACGAAGGCACUCGCAAUUUUGUCCAAACACCGCAACUUUUUCGCAAAUUUGACCAAUCAUCGUAGUUUUACCGUGAAAU